rnacentral:lncRNA from 1 species
GUGGGCAACCCCUCCGGCUCCAAGUGCGGCACCGUGGGCAUCCAGGGCAUCGCCUGGAGCUUCGGGGGCAUGAUCUUCGUGCUCGUCUACUGCACCGCCGGCAUCUCCGGCGGCCACAUCAACCCCGCCGUCACCUUCGGGCUGUUCCUGGCCAGGAAGCUGUCGCUCACCCGGGCCGUGUUCUACAUGGUGAUGCAGUGCCUGGGAGCCAUCUGCGGCGCCGGGGUGGUGAAGGGGUUCCAGACCACGCUGUACAUGGGCAACGGCGGCGGCGCCAACUCGGUGGCGCCGGGGUACACCAAAGGCGACGGCCUGGGGGCGGAGAUCGUGGGGACCUUUGUGCUCGUGUACACCGUCUUCUCCGCCACCGACGCCAAGCGCAGCGCCAGAGACUCCCACGUCCCC